CAGUUGGCCCAGAAGACGGAUGUCAUCACGAUGAAACAACCGAACUUGGGAGAGCCGCUCUUUCUCUGUCCGAACGGCCACGGCAAUCGAAUGGACCACCUGAUCGAGA
rnacentral:ribozyme from 1 species